rnacentral:rRNA from 1 species
AUUGAACGCUGGCGGCAGGCCUAACACAUGCAAGUCGAGCGGAUGAAGGGAGCUUGCUCCUGGAUUCAGCGGCGGACGGGUGAGUAAUGCCUAGGAAUCUGCCUGGUAGUGGGGGAUAACGUCCGGAAACGGGCGCUAAUACCGCAUACGUCCUGAGGGAGAAAGUGGGGGAUCUUCGGACCUCACGCUAUCAGAUGAGCCUAGGUCGGAUUAGCUAGUUGGUGGGGUAAAGGCCUACCAAGGCGACGAUCCGUAACUGGUCUGAGAGGAUGAUCAGUCACACUGGAACUGAGACACGGUACAGACUCCUGCGGGAGGCAACAGUGGGGAAUAUUAGACGAGGCACUAAAGCCUGAUCCAGCCAUGCCGCGUGUGUGAAGAAGGUCUUCGGAUUGUAAAGCACUUUAGGUUGUGAGGAAGGGCAGUAAGUUAAUACCUUGCUGUUUUGACGUUACCAACAGAAUAAGCACCGGCUAACUUCGUG